GGAAUAUUGGACAAUGGGCGCAAGCCUGAUCCAGCAAUGCCGCGUGAGUGAUGAAGGCCUUAGGGUUGUAAAGCUCUUUCGCACGUGACGAUAAUGACGGUAACGUGAGAAGAAGCCCCGGCUAACUUCGUGNCAGCAGC
rnacentral:rRNA from 1 species